rnacentral:tmRNA from 2 species
GGGGAUGAAAGGAUUUCGACGGGGAAUCCGAGCCCGGAUAAGCGAGUAGCGGGGCGGGACCGCUAUAAAAUCCGCAAAUUAAAUUUAAACGACAACAAUAAAGUUGCACUUGCUGCUUAAUUAAGCAGCCGUCUUUGUGCGGAGGACUGCGGCCGCACAUAAGGCGUCGAUCAGCAGUGACCGUGAACGGGUAACGCCUGAUAGCCCGUCAUGAAUAAUCCGGCUACCAAGCGCCGAAGCCUGCCCGGCGGCGUCGGCGUGAGGGAAUGUUAAAAGACGGGAUACACUCGUAGAAAGUCCCUGCAAAGAUUUUUCGGACGCGGUUUCGAUUACCGCCAUCUCCACCA